GCCGGCGUAGCUCAAUCGGCAGAGCAGCUGAUUUGUAAUCAGCAGGUNNGUCCCAACGCCGGCUCCA
rnacentral:tRNA from 1 species